UACGUAGGGGGCAAGCGUUGUCCGGAAUUAUUGGGCGUAAAGAGCGUGUAGGCGGUCCGGUAAGUCAGCUGUGAAAGUCAAGGGCUCAACCCUUGAAUGCCGGUUGAUACUGUCGGGCUAGAGUCCGGAAGAGGCGAGUGGAAUUCCUGGUGUAGCGGUGAAAUGCGCAGAUAUCAGGAAGAACACCCGUGGCGAAGGCGGUUCUCUGGGACGGUACUGACGCUGAGACGCGAAAGCGUGGGGAGCGAACAGG
rnacentral:rRNA from 1 species